AGCUGGCUUAAUUCCCCUCCUCUUGAUGGGGUACUGGCCUUAGUGACAAACAGAAUAUGAUGAAAACAAAGGGCAUGACGCUGGAGACCAGGUCAUAGAGGGCAUUGAGGCUUCCUCCUUGCCCUGUUGCCUGAAUCACUCACUCUGGGCAAAGCAGUGGCCAUCUUGUGAGAUAAUUUCAAGAGGGCACUCAAGCCAUCCUAUGGAGAGGCCCAUCUGGUGAGGAACAGAAGGUUCCAGACAACAGCCCACAAGAAUAACUGAGGCCUUCAGUCAAGAACCAAAUGACGCUGUCAGGAGUCUUCCAGAUCAUAAUUGGAAUGCCAUCUGGGUUAGGAUCUCCUAUGGAUAGAUAAACACAACAAGAGGGCAAAACUUGAUCAAGGCAACCCUCCAUAUUGUUCACAGGUCUUUGCAACCCAAGUGCUGCACUUGAGAGACCACACCAGAAGAGCUUCAACUGCUCCUAGACCUUAUUUAGCUGAUAAGAUCCUGGACUUGGACCUGAUGCCACAGUAGUAUGGGACUUUUAGGGGUUUUGAGAAGGGCCAUCAUGCUUGAGAUGCCUGAGCUACAUGGAAAGGCCAUGUAAGGAAGAACUGAGGUGCCUUAACCAACAAUCCCAGCUGACAAGCCCCAAAUGCCAGCCAAAUGAGUGAGGCCAUUUGAGAUCUUCUAGCAAUCCCAAAAUCUUCUAGCUGAUACCACUAAAGCAGAAAAACUACCCAGAUAACCUGUAGAAAUGUCCUUCUGGUUGCGCUAUGUGGGACGCUGCCUCAGUAUGGCUUGAUGAGCAGUGCCAUGUCGGCGCCCAGGAUCUGAACCAGUGAAACCCUGGGCCGCUGAAGUGGAGCAAGGGAACUUAACCACUGGGCCACGGGGCCAGCCCUUGUUGCUUAUUUUGAAAAUAAAUUUCUAUCAUAUGUCUAUGGAAAAAUCUUUUGUUGUUACUUACGGAAUUCUUU
rnacentral:lncRNA from 1 species